rnacentral:rRNA from 1 species
AAGAGUAAUGCACAAUGAACGUCAGCCGCCUUAUCCACACAACCGUUAAAGGUACAGAUAAAAUCUUCACAACCGACAAUUACCCUUCACUGCUAAAACAAAUCGCUACAGCGCCAGGCAUCGACUAUAACCCGGCGAAUCUAUCAGUAAUACAAACAACCGCUAUCCCAGAUUUUGAGGAAGAAACAGGCCGUAUGUUCACCCGCAGCGACAAAGUAACUGUAUCAUUCACAACUCAAGAACUCAUCAACGCACUAACAGACCAAGAAAAAGCAGCGUUGCUGCAAAGAUUGGCACAGCAACUUAAUUUAUCUAACCGGAUUAUUCGGUUACAAUCUGUCAACCUUGAGUUAACUCAACCUUUACCUGAAGUGAGACUUUGAACAAGAAACUCCUACUUGCAAUAAUCCUCAUAAUCCUUAUUGUAGUAGGCACAGCUUUAGUUGUCUUCAAAGUUGAACCCAUAGUUACCUGGGCGCAACCCCUCACCAGUCUUAUAACAGGCUUCAGUUGGGAUAAACUCAACAGCACCGUCAUAGCAUUAUGCGGCACAGUCGGCGGCUUAAUCAGCGGAUUAGUCACAGCUAUUUGGCAAGCCUUCAAACUCCGAGGCAACCUGAAAGCAGCCAAUAAUACAAUCGCCCAGAAAAACGAUGCAUUAACAAGCAUGACUAACCAAAACCAAAACCUCAUAGACUACUCUAAAACACAAAGUAGCGCCAUCGAUGCAGCUAAAGCAGAAAAAGACCAAGCCCUCAGCAUGAAAGCCGACGCAGAAAACCAACUCUCAUCAGCUCAACAGAAAAUCCAUGACCAAGAAAUCCAAAUGCAAACCCUGACCAACAGCUAAGGCCCCCAAACGUGUGUUAAGUUGAAAGAACGAUGUGUGGUUGCAGCGACAGCUAGGAUGUUAGCUUGGAAGCAGCUAUUCAUUUAAAGAGUGCGUAACAGCUCACUAGUCGAGCGACCGUGCGUGGAUAAUAAUCGGGCAUCAAACACACUGCCGAAGCUAUGGACUUUAGGAAUAGAGUGGUAGGGGAGCAUUCCAUUCAGCGACGAAGGUGAACUGUGAGGUUUGCUGGAGCGUAUGGAAAAGAAGAUGUAGGCAUAAGUAACGAUAAUGCAGGCGAGAAACCUGCACACCGAAAACCCAAGGUUUCCUGAUCAACGUUAAUCGGAUCAGGGUUAGUCGGGUCCUAAGGAGUAUCCGAAAGGAGAAUUCGAUGGACAAAUGGUUAAUAUUCCAUUACCUGUAUAUUGAGAGCGGGAGAGACGGAGUAGUGACACACACGCCAACUGACGGAAUAGUUGGUUAAAGGCCGUAGGUAUAUGAAAAGGUUAAGAGCUGUUUCAUGCUGAUGGUUUACAGUACACUGAGUCUUCGGAUGAAGUGAUAGUUGUGGUAAACAGACUUCCAAGAAAAUCUUCCAAUCGUUAAUUGAUAUACAGCCCGUACCGUAAACCGACACAGGUGGGUGAGGAGAGAAUCCUAAGGUGCUCGAGUGAAUCAUGGCUAAGGAACUCGGCAAAUUAACCCCGUAACUUCGGGAGAAGGGGACCCUAGCGAUAGGGCGCAGAGAAAUGAUCCAGGCGACUGUUUAACAAAAACACAGGGCUUUGCUAAAUCGAAAGAUGAAGAAUAAGGCCUGACACCUGCCCGGUGCUGGAAGGUUAAGAGGGGAUGUUAGCGCAAGCGAAGCAUUGAAUCGAAGCCCCAGUAAACGGCGGCCGUAACUAUAACGGUCCUAAGGUAGCGAAAUUCCUUGUCGGGUAAGUUCCGACCUGCACGAAUGGUGUAACGAUCUGGAUACUGUCUCAGCCAUGAGCUCGGUGAAAUUGUAGUAGCGGUGAAGAUGCCGCUUACCCGCAGUGGGACGAAAAGACCCUGUGCACCUUUACUAUAGCUUAAUAUUGACCUUGGACACGUGAUGUGUAGGAUAGGUGGGAGACUAUGAAGUGGCGUCGCUAGGCGUUGUGGAGUCAUUGUUGAAAUACCACCCUUUGCUUGUCUGAGGCCUAACCCCGUUUUGCGGGGGACAUUGUUUGGUGGGAUAUUUUUUGUUAGAGUUGGACUAACUUGUUUUAUAUCUACCUCUAAUAACGUUCGCUCUUUAUCGUGACUGG